UAGCUCGCUCACUCGCUCGCACGCUCUCUCGUACGCUCGUUCGUUGGUUCGUUCCUUCCUACGUUCGUUCGUUCGUUACGUCGCGACGCCCUCGCGCGGACACGGACCGCGUCGCGACGCUCGAAUGCGCCGACGCAGCAACCAACAACGACGACGACGACGACUACGACGACGACGCCGUACUAUCGUUCGAGCGGGUUAACGUUCGGAGAGGAGAAAGAUCAUACGGCAAUAAAAAGGGAGGAUGAUAUCGAAGCUUACUUCAGCAAAUUUGUUCUAUGAGUUUUAUCGACAGUACUAAGCACGAUCCUUCAACGUGUCUACCUCAUUGGCAGAGAACAGCUUUUUCAAAAACAGACGUGUAGAACUUCUCCUUCGUUUACCUCGACAAGUUCGAAAGCAGCCAAAAUGGAACCGAUAUAAUCCUUCCUCGAUUGAAAUCUGUACCAUUCGAGUUUCGGCAGGAAAUCUGGUGAUAUGUUACACUUGACGUAUCCUUUGGCUUCGCUCGAUAAACUUUUCGGAUCGGUGAGCAUCGCCCAUUUGUGGUGAUACUGAUGAUCUAUUAAAAAGGACGCGUUAAAAGUCUUAUCCAUUUUCCUUUCGAUCGAAUAUUGAAUCAAUUCUCUAACAUCAUUAUUUAUUACUUUCGAUCUUCUUGAAUCGAUAUAAGUUGGGUUAAGCUUUUCAAAAUAUCAUUAGGAGGUUAUUUUACAAUUAUUUUUGCUUGAAAAAUUGAAAUGUAAUAAACAAUGAAAUAUAUUAAUUAAACGUAAUAAUUCAUUAUACCUGGUUGUUCCCAUACUGCCUCGACAUCUAGUAUAGUACUUCCAUAGAACUUAAAUUGCCGUAAAUAGUUUCUCAAGUAUACGGCUAUUGUGAUCCUCGUAGAAAGGAAUGUUUCAAAGUCCCCGAUAAAAUCGAAAACAAAAUACUAUGGAUAUUUAUUAUAUCACGAUAUGGAUUAUUUCAUUAAAUGAUAUCUCAUUAAUCCUUACCUCGUUAUAAAUUGGACAAUCCGUACCUUCCUGUACUUUAGUUUUUUUCUUUUUUUUACCUAAUUUGAC